UACCAGCACCCCGAGUGGUCGGGACGUUUAUUGGGCCUAAAGCAUCCGUAGCCGGUUCUACAAGUCUUCCGUUAAAUCCACGCGCUUAACAGAUGGGCUGCGGAAGAUACUAUGGAGCUAGGAGGCGGGAGAGGCAAGCGGUACUCGAUGGGUAGGGGUAAAAUCCGUUGAUCCAUUGAAGACCACCAGUGGCGAAGGCGGCUUGCCAGAACGCGCUCGACGGUGAGGGAUGAAAGCUGGGGGAGCAAACCGG
rnacentral:rRNA from 1 species